GUAACAUAUCGUUCUUGACAAGCAUUUCUACUUAGAAAACAGACAAGAUGUUGCAGAGGAAUUGUCUUCAAGUUAUUUUUCUCUUCUACAUCUCAUUGACAUUUGGAAAUGGACUUGAAUAUCUGACGUAUUUUAUAAAAGUACAACACUGUGAUCUGAAAGAUGCUAAAACAUUG